AUUGAACGCUGGCGGCAGGCCUAACACAUGCAAGUCGAACGAGUGGCGGACGGGUGAGUAAUGUCUGGGAAACUGCCUGAUGGAGGGGGAUAACUACUGGAAACGGUAGCUAAUACCGCAUACCAUCGGAUGUGCCCAGAUGGGAUUAGCUAGUGGGUGGGGUAACGGCUCACCUAGGCGACGAUCCCUAGCUGGUCUGAGAGGGUGACCAGCCACACUGGAACUGAGACACGGUCCAGACUCCUACGGGAGGCAGCAGUGGGGAAUAUUGCGCAAUGGGCGCAAGCCUGACGCAGCCAUGCCGCGUGAAUGAAGAAGGCCUUCGGAUUGUAAAGUACUUUCAGCGGGGAGGCGUUACCCGCAGAAGAAGCACCGGCUAACUCCGUGCCAGCAGCCGCGGUAAUUC
rnacentral:rRNA from 1 species